rnacentral:tRNA from 1 species
GGGCCGUUAGCUCAGUUGGUAGAGCAGCUGACUCUUAAUCAGCGGGUCGCAGGUUCGAAUCCUGCACGGCUCAC